UCAACUCUGGUUCCAGAAGGGGGAAACUGCGGUGCCAGUGUUUGGAUGUAAAGCUUGCACCACAAAACCAGAGGAGAUAUACAUAUCAGGCGAUAUAGAAAUAUGAUAAACAAACAAACAAACCUCAACCGGCUUCAAUCCGAGGUGGCUCAGAGCUAUACUGGGAGCUGGUAGAUAUUUUCAACCAGGUUCUGGAGGCAUUGAUGAGCUGGAUGUAAGCUAACAAGUUGAAACUUAUCCCAGAAAAGAAGCUGUUGGGAGUGUCAGAGGACUGAAAGAGCCUUCCAAGAACCAGAACAUAUUUUCACCCCAAAUUUUAAAAGUCCAGAUCCACCUUUGUUAAAUGCAUGGCUUACGACAACUUGAAGAUGAAUAAAAAUAAAUGUCUUAACCAUAUAGGAGGUCAGCAAAUUCCAAAUACCACUUUUGAAAACUUAUGGAAGCAUUUUGUUUUGUUUGGAUCUCCUGAUCUCCUGACUGUACCAUAGAAGUAAAUGACUUAUCUGUAUAAUAAACAUAUUACUUAUUUUAAGUAAUGCUUUGGC